AGGGGCGGGGCUUCAGAUCCAGGUUCCGGCUGCUCCAGGGGCUCGCUCCCUCCUACCGCCCCAGGUCAUGUGAAUAAUGAUGCAGCGAAUGACUUUGCAUGGGACUCAUCCACCUGUGUGCGGCUGUAUAUACCGGGUCCUCACCACCUCCACUGCUUCCUGAAGUUGCCACUGAUGGCUGGACCGUUGGGACUGCCUCUUCCCUGCCCUCCUGACCUCCACUGCAUGCUGCAUUUGGCAUCAGAGUGAUCGUAUUGAGACAAAUCGAAUAGGAAGGAGCAUAUGAUGAAAAGAUUUGCUGUGUGUCCGCCCCCCUGCUCUCAGCCCGGCAGGGCCAGACCUGAGCUUCCCAUCACCGUCUACACAAGGAAGGAAGCUGGAACUCGAUGCUGGUGAAGCAAUCUUAAGGGACGUUGACCACACCUUGUGUCUGUACUCUAUUAUGGAGGAAAGUGAGCUUAUGUGAUAAAACGAUGCUCUAGAAUUUAUACAAUUUGCCUUGGGGGGAAAUAGAGCCAGUGGAGAGCUUCGUGGGGGCAGAAGCAGGGAGCGUGGUCCUAGCCACACAGGCAGGCAGGUGCAGUCCCGUACUCAGUAUGUGGGUCUUAAAAAAGUUAUUGGAGCAUUACGGGUUACAAGUAUAAAACGUGCUCACUGACGGUUGACCAAGCUGCCCUCAGCAGAGUAAACUGGUGACGGUGAAGGAAGAAGCAGCCGUAAUUCCCAAUCGCAGGGCGAACCCAGCGCCAAGGGACCGGUCUGAGACCGUGCCUCCCAGGGAGGCACCGGGUUCGUACGCGGGCCACGGCCCAGGGCUCUUCCCCCGGCUCUGGAGGAGAGCACACAUUCGAGGCGCCGGAAGAUUCUCACGGUGUAUCACCCUCUGGCCGUGGAAAACACACUCAGUGACCGCUCGGCCGCUAGCGGGUAAUUCAUGGUCACGUGAAGGUCCCAGAGUCCACACUGUCAGCCCCUGAAGACGGGAAGGAAGGAGGACGUGGCUGAAGGUCUCUUCGGAGUCUGUUGGGUCCGUGGGUCAGCGGGGCCGGGACCAGGCUGACGUCUGCUCUGGCCAAAGUGGCCCCUGUUGCUAGAGGUUGCCUUGCACGGCCUUCCCUCUGCUGUGCUCUCUCUUUCCUCUCCCGAGCCCCCGUGUGAACCUCGCCGCCUCGGUGAGUGUCAUCCCCCAAGGUGACUCUGCGGGAGGCCGGGACCCCACAUGAUCCCGUCACCUGGAACCCAUCCCAGGAAGACUCUUACAGCCGUGGCUGAACUUUGAAGCCCACAGAUCACGAUGAUUUGAAACGUUUCAGAAAACGGCCAGGGCCUCUGCUCCCUGAGCCCUCAGCAGGACCCUGCAAAGCCAGGACCCGGUGGGAAGGGGCCCCAGGCACUGAGGCCUCCUCCCUUGUCUGGCAGGCAGUUCGUGCCUGGAGACCUGCUGGGAAGGGCCCAGGGACACAGUAAACCCGGCCACCUCGGGGGUGGGAGAGGGGUCCUUACCCUGCAGGCACAAGGGGCGGGCCCGUACUGGGGCCACAUCACCAGUGCCGACGCUGCUCCAAACGCAGCCCGGAAGAAGAGAGGGGUGGCGGUGGGCCCAGCGGACAGCCACCUGCAGCGGCUCGCACACGGUAAGUCGCCCACACAGAGCGGGUUUUACUGCCGCUGUUACUUCCUGCAAGAGAGCCGGGGCCCGCGGCUCACACGACUGCCUCCCACAGCUGCAUAUUCCUUGGGGCGGGAGUUCAAGCCCCACGACGGGGCGGUUGUCCUGUGGGACAACCAGGCCAGCAGGCGAGUGGGGAGUCCUGCAGUGGGCUAAGCCUGGCCCGUCCCUCACCGGCAAAGUGACCCUGAGUGUGUGCAGACGUCUCUCGGGCCUCGGUGGCCCCGCUCUGGAAGGGGACAUUCACGCCUCGCGGUGCGGCAAGGAAGCCAUUCACUUGGUGCCUCUCACAUGCUGCUGCCAGUGCUCAGACCCCUCCGUUCCCACGCGGCUCAGUCCCUACGCUUAGAGCACCUCUCCGUUGCCUUGGUGGGUCGUUGGGGGCGAGGCCCUGGGCCAGAUGAGCCAGGUCCACACCCGGCCAUCGAUUGGCUUUCUGAGCCGUGGCUUCUGCCCUGAGCGAUGGUGGGCAGGUAUACCCCCCCCCCCCAGGGCUUUGGGAAGGGUGCUGGAGAGUGGGCUCCAUGUGUCCAACGGAGAGCCAGAGCUCUGAGUGGCCGGGGCUUAGCCCUGCGUGUAGCACAGGGGAUGCUUUAUGAACACAAGCGAUUUCUCUGGCUUUCCUGCUUCCUAAAUGAAGGCUUUCAGCUGAGUGCAGUCAUAUGGGAGCUGUUCGCCUCUAAUAAACACACACAGAGCCUCGGUGAAGUGCCACCAGGACGCCUGCACCGUGUUCUAGGUCCUGCAGAGGCCUCACAGAAAGCAGAGGGGUGGACACAGAGUUGUACGAGUCUGGUGGUGUCAGAUCCCUGCUGCCCGGGGGUCUGGGGGAAGACGGGACAGAAUAAUUGAGUAUGUUUUCAAUCAGACUGUCUCCUUCCUCUCAACAUUGAGGACAUCACUCUGAUGUCCAUGAGCGCUUGCUGAUCUGAGUGAAGAAGGCCAAACUGGAUAGAACUUGCAAGACAGGUUUAUCUCCAAGUUGCCAGUGAUCAUUCCAUCUUUUCCUGGAUAGAGGGGAAUAAUUUUGGAAAGACAUUACUUGGAAUUAAAAGGCAUUUGCCGGGGCGCCUGGGUGGCGCAGUCGGUUAAGCGUCUGACU